rnacentral:rRNA from 1 species
AUGAACGCUAGCUACAGGCUUAACACAUGCAAGUCGAGGGGCAGCAUGGUCUUAGCUUGCUAAGGCCGAUGGCGACCGGCGCACGGGUGAGUAACACGUAUCCAACCUGCCGUCUACUCUUGGACAGCCUUCUGAAAGGAAGAUUAAUACAAGAUGGCAUCAUGAGUCCGCAUGUUCACAUGAUUAAAGGUAUUCCGGUAGACGAUGGGGAUGCGUUCCAUUAGAUAGUAGGCGGGGUAACGGCCCACCUAGUCUUCGAUGGAUAGGGGUUCUGAGAGGAAGGUCCCCCACAUUGGAACUGAGACACGGUCCAAACUCCUACGGGAGGCAGCAGUGAGGAAUAUUGGUCAAUGGGCGAGAGCCUGAACCAGCCAAGUAGCGUGAAGGAUGACUGCCCUAUGGGUUGUAAACUUCUUUUAUAAAGGAAUAAAGUCGGGUAUGCAUACCCGUUUGCAUGUACUUUAUGAAUAAGGAUCGGCUAACUCCGUGCCAGCAGCCGCGGUAAUACGGAGGAUCCGAGCGUUAUCCGGAUUUAUUGGGUUUAAAGGGAGCGUAGAUGGAUGUUUAAGUCAGUUGUGAAAGUUUGCGGCUCAACCGUAAAAUUGCAGUUGAUACUGGAUAUCUUGAGUGCAGUUGAGGCAGGCGGAAUUCGUGGUGUAGCGGUGAAAUGCUUAGAUAUCACGAAGAACUCCGAUUGCGAAGGCAGCCUGCUAAGCUGCAACUGACAUUGAGGCUCGAAAGUGUGGGUAUCAAACAGGAUUAGAUACCCUGGUAGUCCACACGGUAAACGAUGAAUACUCGCUGUUUGCGAUAUACGGCAAGCGGCCAAGCGAAAGCGUUAAGUAUUCCACCUGGGGAGUACGCCGGCAACGGUGAAACUCAAAGGAAUUGACGGGGGCCCGCACAAGCGGAGGAACAUGUGGUUUAAUUCGAUGAUACGCGAGGAACCUUACCCGGGCUUAAAUUGCAGAUGAAUUACGGUGAAAGCCGUAAGCCGCAAGGCAUCUGUGAAGGUGCUGCAUGGUUGUCGUCAGCUCGUGCCGUGAGGUGUCGGCUUAAGUGCCAUAACGAGCGCAACCCCUCUCCUUAGUUGCCAUCAGGUCAAGCUGGGCACUCUGGGGACACUGCCACCGUAAGGUGUGAGGAAGGUGGGGAUGACGUCAAAUCAGCACGGCCCUUACGUCCGGGGCUACACACGUGUUACAAUGGGGGGUACAGAGGGCCGCUACCACGCGAGUGGAUGCCAAUCCCCAAAACCUCUCUCAGUUCGGACUGGAGUCUGCAACCCGACUCCACGAAGCUGGAUUCGCUAGUAAUCGCGCAUCAGCCACGGCGCGGUGAAUACGUUCCCGGGCCUUGUACACACCGCCCGUCAAGCCAUGGGAGCCGGGGGUGCCUGAAGUGCGUAACCGCGAGGAGCGCCCUAGGGUAAAACUGGUGACUGGGGCU